GCGUGAGAGUGGCUUCCGGAGCUAACGCGUUAAAUCGACCGCUGGGGAGUACGGCCGCAAGGUUAAAACUCAAAUGAAUUGACGGGGGCCCGCACAGCGGUGGAGCAUGUGGUUUAAUUCGAUGCAACGCGAAGAACCUUACCUACUCUUGACAUCCAGAGAAUUUAGCAGAGAUGCUUUAGUGCCUUCGGGAACUCUGAGACAGGUGCUGCAUGGCUGUCGUCAGCUCGUGUUGUGAAAUGUUGGGUUAAGUCCCGCAACGAGCGCAACCCUUAUCCUUUGUUGCCAGCACAUUAUGGUGGGAACUCAAAGGAGACUGCCGGUGAUAAACCGGAGGAAGGUGGGGAUGACGUUAAGUCAUCAUGGCCCUUACGAGUAGGGCUACACACGUGCUACAAUGGCGUAUACAAAGAGAAGCGACCUCGCGAGAGCAAGCGGAACUCAUAAAGUACGUCGUAGUCCGGAUUGGAGUCUGCAACUCGACUCCAUGAAGUCGGAAUCGCUAGUAAUCGUAGAUCAGAAUGCUACGGUGAAUACGUUCCCGGGCCUCGUACACACCGCCCGUCACACCAUGGGAGUGGGUUGCAAAAGAAGUAGGUAGCUUAACCUUCGGGAGGGCGCUUACCACUUUGUGAUUCAUGACUGGGGUGAAGUCGUAACAAGGUAACCA
rnacentral:rRNA from 1 species